rnacentral:tRNA from 1 species
GGAAUAGCUCAGUUGGUAGAGCAUCGGUCUCCAAAACCGAGGGUCGUGGGUUCAAGUCCUGCUUCC